UAAACACACACGAAACAGCUCAAAAGGCAGACUAUACAACUCCAGAAUGACUCCUCAGAGACAGUGUUCAGGACACGUAUUUGCUUUUCAAAAGGCAAGAUACACAUUUCGGGUGCAGAAGCUGGACUGAUUUUGUGUGGUUUCAGUCCAAAUGAGAAAAAAAAAAAUCCCCCAAAAAAACCCUUCACAAAAACUGCAACAAGCUUUUUAUUGAUUUUAAUGAGGCUCGGCAGAAGCCACCAAAGCUCAAGAGUUUUGUCAAGAAGUUUAAAAACAGGAGAAAAAUGUUCCAAUAUAAGCAUUAAUAAUUCCGCUUUGUUGCUGCCAGAGCUCAGCAAACCCCCCCUGACACGCUCAUCAGCAUUCCUGCUGCAAGGCUGCUGGGCUCUGAUAAGAGCCUGCAAUGUUAUCACUUCCUAAGUCAACAACUUCUGCCAAUAUAAGUAAGAAAAGCUGCCUGUAAGAAGAAACGCUGCUAUGAGUUCUGCUGGCCCUCUCCAAAACACCAAUUCCUGAUGGGAGCAGUCGUGGGUCAGGAGUAGCUGUUUAAUUAACACAUCCCAGCACAUCCCAGGAGCUGCCCCUCAGGACAGGGAUGCAGCCACCCCCUCCAGGUGCUCCCAACAUUUCCUCUGCAGCACCUCAGCUGUGUGAGCCACAGAAGGGAGUCAGCACCAUCAGGAAAGACAGAGAGGAGAUGGAAAAGGGACAGGAUCCUUUCACUAAAUCCUGAGUCAAAGGAGGAACAGCUACCAAGGACCAACAGCUACACAGAUCAGUCUGAACUGUGGAGACACCUGGAAGAAGGGAACUGAAUCUGGAUUUUAGUAUGGAAACUGACAGGACACAGACCCAGUGGAUUUGUGGAGGUUCUAAGCUGGAAAGGUAACCAGGUGUGCUGGGAAGGGGAUUUCAUAAAUCCAACAGCUUCAAGCUAAUUCCACAGGUGACAGGAUAAUCAUCCAAGCUAAGCUAAUCUAGCACUGGUUCUAAUGCUUCACCAGAUACAGAAUCAACUCUGAAGCUGACCCCCACCACGCUGCUGAAUCAUUUGGUGAACAACCAAUGCCACAGAAGUCAUGGACAGCAUCAGCUCCAUCAGCACCUCAGAUGAAGCUCUGUACACCAACCCCAGCCUCAUUUCCAUCGUGGUUUGUCAGCCCAUCACAAUGAACGCUGCAAACAACAGUGAGAUGUGCUGAGCAAGGCAAAGGACAACUUGCUUUGCUUGUCACCUCCCAGGGCUCCUCCAAGCCCCAGUUUCUUUGAUGUUCUGCCCUCCUUCAACUAACACCCAACUGCAACAUUGCAUUUUGAAGUAUUUACAAUUCAGUAUUUUGGUUCAA